rnacentral:rRNA from 1 species
GACGUAGGGCGCGAGCGUUGUCCGGAUUUAUUGGGCGUAAAGAGCUCGUAGGCGGCUUGUCGCGUCGACUGUGAAAACCCGCGGCUCAACCGCGGGCCUGCAGCCGAUACGGGCAGGCUAGAGUUCGGUAGGGGAGACUGGAAUUCCUGGUGUAGCGGUGAAAUGCGCAGAUAUCUGGAGGAAUACCGGUGGCGAAGGCGGCGAUCCUGGACCGGCAUUGGACGCUGAGGAGCGAAAGC